UACGUAGGGUGCAAGCGUUAAUCGGAAUUACUGGGCGUAAAGCGUGCGCAGGCGGUUGUGCAAGACAGAUGUGAAAUCCCCGGGCUUAACCUGGGAACUGCAUUUGUGACUGCACGGCUAGAGUGUGUCAGAGGGGGGGUAGAAUUCCACGUGUAGCAGUGAAAUGCGUAGAUAUGUGGAGGAAUACCGAUGGCGAAGGCAGCCCCCUGGGAUAACACUGACGCUCAUGCACGAGAGCGUGGGGAGCAAACAGG
rnacentral:rRNA from 1 species